AGAUGUCCUUGCAGCAGUGACGCAAGCCAUUAAGGGUACGGCAGCUAAGAGAUAGCCUGAGACCAGAUCAGCUGACACCCCAGAACUGAUAACAGGCAGAAGUACAGUGGGUCUGCGGGGGUCCGGGACUGCUGAAAUCCCUCUAAAAAGGGAGGAGUUUGGCAGCACACGGUCAGACCCCUCAGACAUGACCCCUCUAGGUCUGACCACUUAAAAAAAGCAGCUGCCACCAAAGGUUCCGCCGGAUUGAGCAGGUGCCCAGGACUGACCCAGGCGCCACCCAAGUCUUAUCUCCCCUGCGUGCCCACAGACUGACUUCACGUUUGGUUCAUUAACUUCCUACCCACUCUGUUAUCUUGUGGACUGUGUGACUUGUCUCGUGUUCUGCUUUGCGGGCCAGUAAGAAGCCAAGUCAAUCACGUCUUCCAAUGCCACUGACUUUGGAAUCCUGAACCUGCUUUAUAAUGAUGUUAAUCUUGCUUUAUGCCUGAAUAAAGCUGACCUCAUGGAAGGACACAACUCGUGUCUUUCCUAGGUGCUGGUGACAACGAGCUUGUGGCUGGGAAGAUAGGAAGGGGCUGCUUUUUGCACUGGACCCCCUGUUUGAGUAGAUGCCCGCCGCUAGGUGGGAUCACACGCCCACCUCGCUGGGCUGCCGGGUCUGCAGAGCCGGCCCUCGGAGGCGCUGAGCAGGUCGGGGUCCCUAACGUGAGGCUGGGGAGGCCGGCGAGGACCCGCGGAGCAGGUGGCGGGGGUGGAGGGAAGGACGCCGGCUCUGCGGGGACGCGGCCGCCUGCGCGACCUGGGGGCCCCGGGGAGUCGCCGCCUCCGCCGCCGCGGCGGCCCGGAUUUCUCCCCAGGGGAGGGAGCCGGAGCACCUGAACCGUGACUCAGCGAGAGCGGCCCUCGGACCGUGACUCAGCGAAAACAGACCUCGGGACCGUGACUCAGCGAAAACAGACCUCGGGACCGUGACUCAGCGACAACAGACCUGAGAUCGGGACUCCGCGCCGAGCCUGCCGGCGUGACUCAACAGGAAAGGGCGGCAGGGGUGCGGGGCAGAGGGUUCCUCAGCGGGAGGCCGUCCGCGCCCGACCCCUGCCCCCAGCGCCCGCCGAGCUCAGCAGCCACCAGCGCCCGCGGGGCCGGGCCUCGGGGAGCGCGGGAGUGGCAGGUACGCGGGCUACCUGAGCAGGUGACCUGGCGCAGGUAACUCAGCCCGUCCCAGCGUCGUGGGCAGCGUGGGGACGGCUGCGGCGGCCUGGGGGGGUCCUCGGCCCCGUUGAGUGAUCCCACCACUUCCUUCUGCCCAGCUCAGCCAACGCUUGGCUGCCUCAGUGUCCCCAUCUUCAAACUGAGGGGCAGAGAGAAGCUCCCUUCCCCGGACGGCAUUCCGUGGGUGUAUGUUUAUACUUUAAAUAAUCCAUUUUUAUCCCCUAGUUAGAAGACGCUGCCCGGCCACUGUACUGCACUGAAGUCUAUGAUCCCCAACCUGCAGACCACUGUUGCUAACGUUCUCGUGUAUUUGUUAGGAUUAAAAAAAUAACCAACUCUAUCAUGCCCACAAAGGAGUAUAUUCUACAGUAUGAUUCUGUGCAAGGAACAGUGAUAAGGGGAACAUAGCUUAUGAAGUAGCUCUUUCUCUUUUUUCUGUGCAAAUUCUAUAUGAUUGUGAUCCUAAUGUCUAUGGUAUACCUUUGUCUUCCUUUGUUUCAUUAACACAACUGUUUUCCCAAAUUGUAACAGGGCCCUUGUAAGCAUUAUCUCAAAGGCCUCACAAAAAUCCAUUCAGGAGACAUUCAUUCAUUCAACACGGUAUCCCGCCCGAGUGCCUGGGGCCUACUGUUAAACCUUUGGGUUGCUUCCUAUUUAUUUUUUUCCUAUUGAAGGAGAAAGAUAAGGAGUAUUUAAAACAGUCUCUGGCUUUCACAUACUAGGGGAAGGGCGUUUUUCAUAUCAGAGAAUUGUCUUUUUUUAUUUUUGAACAUACGUUGCUUGCUUUCCCCUGCUCCCCAAGAUCUGGAUGGAAAGGUUAAAAACAAAGGAGGAAGAAGGGUGGGCUAUGAGGGACUUCUGAGACCAGGGCCUUCAACAGAUGCUGGAAAGCAGGGAACACCAAGAACUUGGGGGUACCAUGGAAGCACACACUGGGUUACAAAUCGUGUAAAGAACAGCAAAAGGAACAUCUUCAGUAAAUACGACUUUUGCCACUGGGGCUCAGAGUCGGGGCAGUUUGCUUUUGUUUGAGUGACAGCCGGGAGGAAGGACCACCCCAGCACUCUGCGGGAUGAUGUGCUGUUUGGCUGCAAGUGAAGGCAGCGAGGGGUCUGGGACUCACCCCCUAAGGUGCCUGCAGCAGCCCCCUCCUGCCCGGAGCUCAGCCUCAGUGCUCCGAUUUCCUGAAAAGCCCUCUUUAUGCCCCUAUGGAGUUUGGGGUGAAGCUCCAGGGAGCCUGAGGGUCUGUUAUAGGCAGAACUGUGUCCCUCCCCAAAUUCACCUGUGGAAGCCCUAACCCCCAGUACCUUUCAACGUGAUUGUAUUUGGAGAUGAGCCUUUACAGAGGGGAUGAAGUUAAAACCAUGCUCUUCGGUUGGGCCCCGAUCCGGUCGAACGGGUGUCCUUCUAGAAGAAAGACACCCGGGCGCAUGCACAGGGGGAGGACCUGUGAGGACACGCCAGGAAAGCUGUUGGCAAGCCAAGCAGAGGCCUCGGAAGAAACCACACCUGCUGACAUCUAGACCUUCGGCCUUCAGAAGUGUGAGAAGAUGAGCUUGUGAUCGUCUGAGCCACCCAGUCUGUGGCGUGGGGUCACGGCCCGUGGCUGGCACACGGACACUGGGCCCGAGACUCAAGACCGGAAGGACCCCUGAAAGAGCAGCCUCGUUCAACUUCUCCUUCCUCUCCUCUUCUCUCUCCCUUUUUAUUUUGAAAAAAUGCCAGACCUACUAAAAGGCUCAGGACGCAAACGGGACACUGCAUGCCGGUACACCCUUCCCUGGGAUCAUGCCUUGUCGGGAAUUGGCUCUUUUUGUGUGUCUCUCUCCUUUUCUCUCUCUCUCUCUUUUUUUUAAGAUUUUAUUUAUUUGACAGAGAGAGAGACACAGCGAGAGAGGGAACACGAGGGGGAGUGGGAGAGGGAGAAGCAGGCUUCCCGCAGAGCAGGGAGCCCGAUGCGGGGCUCGAUCCCAGGACCCUGGGACUGUGACCUGAGCCAAAGGCAGAUGCUUAAUGACUGAGCCACCCAGGGGCCCCUCUCCUUUUCUCUUUUAUUAUUAUUUUUCCAGAACCAUCUGAGAGUACGUUGUGGACAUCCUGACACUUCACCUGUAGGAACAAGGACACAUCCGCAUUGUUAUCAUCACAGUAAAGACAUAAGGCUGACGCCUUAACGUCCUUUACUUUACUGUCACACUUUCCCAGGGAUCCCCCAAAAACAGUCCAUUGGAGGACCCCCAGAAUCUAAUCAAGGUUCAUGCCCUCCUUUUUGCUGUCAUGUCUUAGGUCUCUCGUGGCAUUGACUCUGGAAGAAUUGUUUGGAAGAGACAGGUUAGUUGCCUUGAAAAUGUCCCAUGUUUUGGAUUUGUCUUUUUCCCUCACGGUGAGAUUCUGGUGGAACAUUCCUGGACAGAGUCCUAUAUGGUCAUGUUGCGUCUCCUCAUCGGGUGGAACCAAGGAAACUGAAACCCAGCUAGUUGGUGGCAGAGUUUAGAUGCAUUUCAGUACCAGAUUAUUAUUAUUUUUUAAAGAUUUUACUCAUUUAUUUGAGAGAGAGAGAGAGCGCAAGCGGGGUGGGGAGGGGCACAGGGAGAGGGAGAAGCAGACUCCCUGCUGAGCAGGGAGCCCAAAUGACACAGGGCUCAAUCCCAGGACCCUGAGAUCAUGACCACAGCGGAGGGCAGAGGCUUAAUGGACUGAGCCACCCAGGCGCGCCUUCAGUACCAGAUUUUUUAUUUGCCUUUAUCAAGCCUGUGACUGAUUGUGUAGAACAGGAAAAGCGCCUUUGUGUCAAGUGGGGGGUGUUCAUUAAACAAAGGAAAACAGAAUCUAUUAAUAUAAGCAAUGCUGUUCUUCCUUGUAAAGCCUGGUGGUUAAACACACACGUAGGACACAGCUUUGAAUCUCAUUUGUAAUAAGCCAUGUGACCUGAAUAAGUCUUAACGUCUCUGGGCCUCGGUUUUCUUAUCUGUGAAAUGGGGAUAAUAAUGGUACCUACCUCCCAGGCUUGUGGGACAUGAAAUUAUCCAUGUCAAAUACUUAGCGUGGUGCCUGGCUUGUAAUUAAUUGCCCAAUAAAAAGUAAUUAUUCUCA